rnacentral:rRNA from 1 species
GUGGGGAAUAUUGGACAAUGGGGGGAACCCUGAUCCAGCCAUGCCGCGUGUGUGAAGAAGGCCUUUUGGUUGUAAAGCACUUUAAGCGAGGAGGAGGCUACCGAGAUUAAUACUCUUGGAUAGUGGACGUUACUCGCAGAAUAAGCACCGGCUAACUCUGUGCCAGCAGCCGCGGUAAUACAGAGGGUGCAAGCGUUAAUCGGAUUUACUGGGCGUAAAGCGCGCGUAGGUGGCCAAUUAAGUCAAAUGUGAAAUCCCCGAGCUUAACUUGGGAGUUGCAUUGGAUACUGGUUGGCUAGAGUAUGGGAGAGGAUGGUAGAAUUCCAGGUGUAGCGGUGAAAUGCGUAGAGAUCUGGAGGAAUACCGAUGGCGAAGGCAGCCAUCUGGCCUAAUACUGACACUGAGGUGCGAAAGCAUGGGGAGCAAACAGGAUUAGAAACCCGGGUAGUCC